GGCCUGGUGGUGUAGUGGUCAACACACUUGCUUUAUCUUCGACAAGUGAAUGGUAAGCAGGAGAUCCCUUGUUCGACUCAAGGUCAGACCA